CAGUUUGAUUCUAGCUGCGUGAUUAAUAAUACUAAAAUAAAACACAUGCAAACCUUCUCCCACCGUGAUUAAGUUUUCCUAUUAAAUAAUUUCACCUUAUAAUAAUGUAUCCCUUAAAUAUAUAAAUAUCUCACGCCUGCAGUGGACAACUCUUAACAAUUAAUUAACGUUCGAUUAGGUUUUAUAUAUUUAUGCUGACCAAAUCUGUGCCAGCAGUCGCGGUUAUACAGAAAGCACAAUUUAAUCUUCUAUAGGAAUGAUUAUGAAGAAAUAAAAUUUCACCAGGAGUCCAAUCCCCCAAACUCAAUUCCUUUUUCUUCCCCAUAAAUCGAAAGUAUAACCUAAAACAAGGAUUAGAUACCCUUCUAUUCUAAACUCUAAACCUUUACCUGGGCACUACGAACUCAUGUUUAAAACCCAAAGACCUUGGCGGUAAUCUAACCUCUUAGGGGAACCUGUAAUUUAAUUUGAUACUCCCCAACAACCUUCCUCUUUAUCCCUCAGCUUGUGUACUGCCGUCGUCAGUUUACCUUAAAAAGAUAGUAAACUAAAAAUUCCUAAAUUUUACGUCAGGUCAAAGUGCAGCUUAUAUAAGAGCAUCCAUGGGUUACAAUCUCUACUAAGACAGCGGACAUUUAAAUGAAAAUUUAUUUUAAAGUUGGACCUAACCGCAAAUUCUGCUACCCUUCAGUUUUGAAUCUGGAAAUCUAGAUUAUGCACAAAUCGCCCGUCACUCCCCUCUAAAGAGGGGAUAAGUCGUAACAUAGUAGGGGUAAUGGAAAUUGCCCCUA
rnacentral:ncRNA from 1 species